rnacentral:rRNA from 1 species
AGAGUUUGAUCCUGGCUCAGAGUGAACGCUGGCGGUAGGCCUAACACAUGCAAGUCGAACGGCAGCACAGUAAGAGCUUGCUCUUACGGGUGGCGAGUGGCGGACGGGUGAGGAAUACAUCGGAAUCUACUUUUUCGUGGGGGAUAACGUAGGGAAACUUACGCUAAUACCGCAUACGACCUACGGGUGAAAGCAGGGGAUCUUCGGACCUUGCGCGAUUGAAUGAGCCGAUGUCGGAUUAGCUAGUUGGCGGGGUAAAGGCCCACCAAGGCGACGAUCCGUAGCUGGUCUGAGAGGAUGAUCAGCCACACUGGAACUGAGACACGGUCCAGACUCCUACAGGAGGCAGCAGUGGGGAAUAUUGGACAAUGGGCGCAAGCCUGAUCCAGCCAUACCGCGUGGGUGAAGAAGGCCUUCGGGUUG